GCUGCUCCUAGCAAGCUUUCGUAAAGAGAGACUCCACACUCGGGAACUGAAAACCUAGUUUCUUGAGAGCACAGAGGAAAAACAUGCUUGUAAUAGGUGCUAUACCAAGUGGACCAGACCUUCUGGCACUUUUACCAUCCAUGGAAAGAGAAGCAUAUCAUGCCUGAUAUAAGAUCUCACUAUGUACCUCAAGCUGAUCGUGAAUUCACAGCAUUCUCCUAGAUCAGUCUCCAGAGCACUGAAAUGACAAGCACUUCACCAUUCCCUCAAUGACCUGCAAUUAUUUAACAGAAGAAAACUUACCCUCUCAUGAGAGAAAUUACAAAGAAAAUCUGUCUAAGGGUUUCUCCCUCUCUGUACAGACAGUGAAGGUGCCUCUAAAUCACCAAAGCAUAUGUACCACGUACAGCCUCUCCUUCUUGGUUUACCAAUCUGUUUUGGCCAUCUCCCAGAACUGGGCUAUUUCAAAGGUAUUCAUACCUCAAUUCAAGCCUAUUCACUGGGCUAUACUAGAAAAUAAAUU